rnacentral:rRNA from 1 species
GCUCAGGACGAACGCUGGCGGCGUGCUUAACACAUGCAAGUCAAGGGGGCCCAGCAAUGGGCAACCGGCGAACCGGGUGCGUAACACGUGAGCAACCUGCCGAUCUGCGGGGGAUAGCCGGCCCAACGGCCGGGUAAUACCGCAUACGCUCAGUCUGAGGCAUUUCAGACUGAGGAAACUUUUAUUGGGCGGAUCGAGGGGCUCGCGGCCUAUCAGCUAGUUGGUGGGGUAACGGCUCACCAAGGCGACGGCGGGUAGCUGGUCUGAGAGGAUGGCCAGCCACAUUGGGACUGAGAAACGGCCCAGACUCCUACGGGAGGCAGCAGUGGGGAAUAUUGCGCAAUGGCCUAACGGCUGACGCAGCGACGUCCGCGUGUGGGAUGACGCCCUUCGGGGUGUAAACCACUGUUGCCCGGGACGAACCUCUGGCUUACCAGACUGACGGACCG